rnacentral:rRNA from 1 species
GACGAACGCUGGCGGCGUGCUUAACACAUGCAAGUCGAACGGAAAGGCCCUGCUUUUGUGGGGUGCUCGAGUGGCGAACGGGUGAGUAACACGUGAGUAACCUGCCCUUGACUUUGGGAUAACUUCAGGAAACUGGGGCUAAUACCGGAUAGGAGCUCCUGCUGCAUGGUGGGGGUUGGAAAGUUUCGGCGGUUGGGGAUGGACUCGCGGCUUAUCAGCUUGUUGGUGGGGUAGUGGCUUACCAAGGCUUUGACGGGUAGCCGGCCUGAGAGGGUGACCGGCCACAUUGGGACUGAGAUACGGCCCAGACUCCUACGGGAGGCAGCAGUGGGGAAUAUUGCACCAUGGGCGGAAGCCUGAUGCAGCAACGCCGCGUCCGGGAUGACGGCCUUCGGGUUGUAAACCGCUUUCGCCUGUGACGAAGCGUGAGUGACGGUAAUGGGUAAAGAAGCACCGGCUAACUACGUG